GUUAUAAAACAAACACUCAUGCAUUCUUCUGAAAUACAGACAUUAGGAAAAAUUGUGUUCAUGCAAACUGCCAUCAGUUUGAAAACUAAAUAGAAGAACUAAGGCAAUUUUCAAGUUACCAUGAACGCAACAAUACUAAUUAUCAUUAAUAAAUAUGGAAAAUCAUAGCAAUGUAAUUUACAUUUAUUACUAUAAGGUUAUUUGAAAGCACCAAAAUACUUCAGAAAUAUAAGACUCUAUGAGGAAAAGUGUGCAUGCAAUCUAUUCUAAAAUAUAAAAACUAUCUGGCAAACAAUCAACUAAAUGGGCUUUCAGAAACAGAUUACAGAAUCUCACAAUAACUAACAGAAUAAAAUGAUUAGAAAACAUUGUUGGAAAAGGCAUAACCUCUUUUAUUAUAAUAUUUAUUUCAUGGUUUUUCUUAAACCCAGACAUUUGCCACAAACACUUACAGGAGUAUCAAUAAAAGCUUAGAAAGGCUGAAAAACACAGAAAAGAACAAAGUAAUCCAAAUCUUGAAAAAAGAUAACCUAAGAAAAGAUUAUAAACACUGAAAAAUAACUAAGGAGGUCAGUGUACAAUAUUAGAAGCAGUAUGACAAAGGGAAUUCAAACUUAAUCACAAGAGAACUUUUUGAAGAGAUAUUAAUUUUUUUUGCUGGGAUACAUUAAAAACCCUGUUUUAUUUUUAAAGAAGUGGUCAAUUAGAAACUUCUCCUCUUGAAAAUGAGGUACUCUUCCAAAGAAAAAUAAGAUUAUAGAAAACCCCUAUAUUCUUAUAUUUAAUGAUUUAGCAGAUGCUUGAACAUGUAUUAUUCUGCUUAACUAGAAAGAUCAGCUUUUAUUGUACUUACAAUGCUUGUGUUUAGUUCUCUAAUUUUUACUUUAAAAUAAAGCAAUGUAGUGCUAAUAUUGUCCUUAAUUUUAAGUAGAUAUUGAUCAUACUUUCCUGUUACACAAUGUUAUCACACCAUACUCAGUAGCAGAUGACGUGCUACUCUACUGCAUAACGUAGUACUCAAUCUCAUAAGCUCUCUUCUCAUUCUCUAGUUGUUCUACAUAGAUAACCCUUAUUCAUCUAACUAGACUCUUACCUUCUCCAAGACAAAGAAUAGUAUUUUUUAUCCAUAUAUUCUAAGGGUAAUUAAAACACUAACAUACAGAAUGAAUGAAGAUACAUUUCUUUUAUUUUCUUUAUUAAUUUCGAACCUCAAUAAAGUGUGUUAGCCAUUCUCAGAAAAAAAAUAAACAAAUGUUUUAAAAGGCCAAAGCUAUUCUAGUACUCACAAGAAUUAAAAUAGACAAGUGGAAAACAUUUCAAGAACAAUUAAAGCACUGAACACAGAAUAGGAAACAAAAAGAAGGCAUCCAUUACUUAAGCUGUAAUACAAGAGUCCAUUCUUUUCCAUUUUCAGUGGGCAUGUAACAGUUUGAUGACUAUGAAUGUCCCUGAAGUUCAUCUGGUUUACAAACCACUAUUUAAGAAAUGCUUUAUCAGAUAAACAAAUUGGGUUUGGUAUGCAACUAUAUACUGUUUUUUUGUGUGUAAGGUGAGUAAAGAUUCAAAUAAUAUUUUUUCUGAGACAGAUCUCCAAAUUAUGAUUUACCACAUUAUCAUAACAGCCUAUUAAAGAUUAAUGGAAAGUAUCUUCAAUUAAUUCAAGGUAGUUUAUUAUGUGACAUGCUCAAGCACUGCAAGUAGAGCUUGUGGAAGAGCAAAAAUUGAGAGUUGAUAUAUUGAUAAUUCCCCAGGUGGAAGGCAGGCGGACAUGCACGUACAUGCUUCACACACUCAAUUACUGUUCCAAGACAUUACUUUGUUUACAGUGAGCUGAUAUGUCAUAUGUAAACUUGUAAGUAAUAAUAACCUCACUUAAAGGAUAUUUACUCUUUGAUUUAAAACAUAUGAAUAAAUAUAGCGUAACCUUAACAUUAAACUGAAAACUCCUAUUUUUUUGGGAAGAGGGGGUGGUGUCUUGUUAUGUUGCCGAGGCUGGACUCAACUCUGGGGCUCAGGCAUUCAAUCCUCCUGCCUCAGCCUUCCAAGUAGUGCACAUUGCUGGAUCUGGCUGCAAAUUCCAUUGUAAUAUAAUUUAGAAUUCAAACUUUUGAGUACGAUUCUCGCAAGGGUAACUAGCUAAUGACAUUUUAAAGUACAGUAAUUAAUAACCCUAAGCAAAUUCAUGUAGAUAUACUGGCCAGGCAUGAUGGCUCAAGCCUGUAAUCCCAGCACUCUGGAGGCCGAGGCGGGCGGAUUACAUGAGAUCAGGAGUUUGAGACCAGCCUGGCCAACAUGGUGAAACCCUGUCUCUGCUAAUAAUAUAAAAAUUAGGCGGGUAUGGUGGUGCAUGCAUGUAAUCACAGCUACUGGGGAGGCUGAGGCAUGAGAAUCGCUUGAACCCGGGAGGCAGAGGUUGCAGUGAGACGAGAUCGUGCCACUGCACUUCAGCCUGAGUGACAGAGUGAAACUGUCUCAAAAAAAAAAAAAAAAAAAGAAAAGAAAUUCAUAGAGAUAUGUAUGUAAUACUCAUUUUAAAGUCAGAAAUGUUUAUAAUAAUUUAUAUUUGCUUUUAGAAAGUUUUAAAUUUGAGGGUUUUCUAUUUUUAAAAAAUCUUAUUUAAAAUAAAAUUCCAACCCACAAAAUUUUACAUAUUAACAGAAAUAAAAAUCAACCUACAAAACUAGCUCUUUCUUAUUUAUUGAAUUCGAUUACGUGUUCAGCUCUUGACACAGGUAAAGCCCGCGGUAUCCAAGUAUAAGAAUUAAGACUUCAGUUCUAGAAUUUUGUAUUAUAUUCUAGGCCCCAAUCAGUUUGAGACUAAAGGAAAUAAAAAGUAAAAUGUUGUAAAAUAAUGUACUUGUUAACAAAAAUAUACUAGAAUUACACUGUAUAUGAUGAUAAAAGGUCAGAAAUGCAGAUAAUCUCCUCAGACAUUUAAGUGACUAAGAAUCUUCUAUAAUUUUAAUUUUGCCAAAGAAUGAGAAACUACCCAACAUUUUAAGAUAUCAAUUUCAUUUUGUAGCUGCUGCUGUAUUUUUAAGAGGCUCAACUUCAAAUACUUCAACCUUUUAUGGAAAGAUGGAAACACACAACAAACUAUGUAGAUCUUGAUACAAGUCUCCAUCAAGUUGAUUCAUUUUCAAAAGUAAAUUACAUCCUAAUCUCAAACCUGUGGCAAGACAAGUCAAAUCAUCAAAGAAUGUCCUGUGACAGCCAAGGAGGCGGCCCCGCGGGAACCAGGUCCUGCGAGGAGGGCGGUCGGCCGCUCCCUCCCGACUCCCUCCUGGGCCGGCGGCCCAGGGUGCGGCGCUGCCAGCAGGUUGAUCGGGCGGAGCUUUGGGAGCGGCUCGACUGACCGCCCGAGGGGCUGAGGCUUCAAGGCGAGAUCACCGCCGGCCAAAUAAGAAUAAACAAACUCCAAAGAAAAAAAAAAGCCUUUCCGCCUUCCCUCAUUGGACAGCGAGACAGAGUCUUGGGCUCCUCCGCACGCACCUUCUCCAGCAAUCAUUUUUCCCC
rnacentral:lncRNA from 10 species